CUCUGCCCUAUAAAUACAGCUGUGAAAACAGACGUCAGACACAAAUUACUCUGCUUACUGCGUCGGGUGAGAACUUUUCACUGCACUUGUAAACAAGACAAAAUGAGUGACCCCAAAGCCCAGGGAAAAGGCCAAGAACAUGGACAUGGACAUGGAAAAGGCCAAGAACAAGGGAAAGGAAAAGGCCAAGAACAUGGACAUGGACAUGGAAAAGGCCAAGAACAAGGGAAAGGAAAAGGCCAAGAACACGGACAUGGAAAAGGCCAAGAACAAGGGAAAGGAAAAGCACCACCUCCCUAAUAAAUAAUGAAUCAUUAUUCUGUGGUCAUUUUUAAGAGAUAAAAAUGUCUUUAAUAAACUAAAAUAAAAAACAA